UUGGUUAAGUUAGAAAGGGCGCACGGUGGAUGCCUUGGCACUAGGAGCCGAAGAAGGACGGGACUAACACCGAUAUGCUUUGGGGAGCUGUACGUAAGCGUUGAUCCAGAGAUUUCCGAAUGGGGGAACCCACUAUCUUUAGUCGGAUAGUAUCCUUACGUGAAUACAUAGCGUGAGGAAGGCAGACCCAGGGAACUGAAACAUCUAAGUACCUGGAGGAAGAGAAAGAAAAAUCGAUUUCCUGAGUAGCGGCGAGCGAAACGGAAAGAGCCCAAACCAAGAAGCUUGCUUCUUGGGGUUGUAGGACACUCUAUACGGAGUUACAAAAGAAAGUUAUAAAUGAAGCGGUCUGGAAAGGCCCGCCAAAGACGGUAACAGCCCGGUAGUUGAAAUGGCUUUCCCUCCAGAGUGGAUCCUGAGUACGGCGGAACACGUGAAAUUCCGUCGGAAUCCGGGAGGACCAUCUCCCAAGGCUAAAUACUCCCUAGUGACCGAUAGUGAACCAGUACCGUGAGGGAAAGGUGAAAAGCACCCCGGAAGGGGAGUGAAACAGUUCCUGAAACCGUGUGCCUACAAGUAGUUAGAGCCCGUUAAUGGGUGAUAGCGUGCCUUUUGUAGAAUGAACCGGCGAGUUACGAUUUGUUGCAAGGUUAAGCGGAAAAAGCGGAGCCGUAGCGAAAGCGAGUCUGAAUAGGGCGCAUAAGUAACAGGUCGUAGACCCGAAACCAGGUGAUCUACCCAUGUCCAGGAUGAAGGUAAGGUAAUACUUACUGGAGGUCCGAACCCACGCACGUUGAAAAGUGCGGGGAUGAGGUGUGGGUAGCGGAGAAAUUCCAAUCGAACUUGGAGAUAGCUGGUUCUCUCCGAAAUAGCUUUAGGGCUAGCCUCGAGGUAAAGAGUCAUGGAGGUAGAGCACUGUUUGGACUAGGGGCCCUUCUCGGGUUACCGAAUUCAGAUAAACUCCGAAUGCCAUGUACUUAUACUCGGGAGUCAGACUGCGAGUGAUAAGAUCCGUAGUCGAAAGGGAAACAGCCCAGACCACCAGUUAAGGUCCCCAAAUAUAUGUUAAGUGGAAAAGGAUGUGGGGUUGCUUAGACAACCAGGAUGUUGGCUUAGAAGCAGCCACCAUUGAAAGAGUGCGUAAUAGCUCACUGGUCGAGUGACCCCGCGCCGAAAAUGUACCGGGGCUAAACAUAUUACCGAAACUGUGGAUGAACCUCUUUAGAGGUUCGUGGUAGGAGAGCGUUCUAAGGGCGGUGAAGUCAGACCGGAAGGACUGGUGGAGCGCUUAGAAGUGAGAAUGCCGGUAUGAGUAGCGAAAGAAGGGUGAGAAUCCCUUCCACCGAAUAUCUAAGGUUUCCUGAGGAAGGCUCGUCCGCUCAGGGUUAGUCGGGACCUAAGCCGAGGCCGAUAGGCGUAGGCGAUGGACAACAGGUAGAGAUUCCUGUACCAGUGCUAAUUGUUUAACCGAUGGGGUGACACAGAAGGAUAGGGAAUCGCACGAAUGGAAAUGUGCGUCCAAGCAGUGAGUGUGAGAAGUAGGCAAAUCCGCUUCUCGCGAAGCAUGAGCUGUGAUGGGGAAGGAAAUUAAGUACGGAAGUUCCUGAUUUCACGCUGUCAAGAAAAGCCUCUAGGAAGAGUAGUACUGCCCGUACCGCAAACCGACACAGGUAGAUGAGGAGAGAAUCCUAAGGUGAGCGAGAGAACUCUCGUUAAGGAACUCGGCAAAAUGACCCCGUAACUUCGGGAGAAGGGGUGCUCUAUUAGGGUGCAAGCCCGAGAGAGCCGCAGUGAAUAGGCCCAGGCGACUGUUUAGCAAAAACACAGGUCUCUGCAAAACCGUAAGGUGACGUAUAGGGGCUGACGCCUGCCCGGUGCUGGAAGGUUAAGAGGAGUGCUUAGCUUCGGCGAAGGUACGAAUUGAAGCCCCAGUAAACGGCGGCCGUAACUAUAACGGU
rnacentral:rRNA from 1 species